rnacentral:rRNA from 1 species
CCCUUAGAUGUUCUGGGCCGCACGCGCGCUACACUGACGAAUGCAACGAGCUUAUAACCUUGGCCGAAAGGUCUGGGUAAUCUCCAAAUUUCGUCGUGAUGGGGAUAGAUUAUUGCAAUUAUUAAUCUUCAACGAGGAAUGCCUAGUAAGCGCAAGUCAUCAGCUUGCGUUGAUUACGUCCCUGCCCUUUGUACACACCGCCCGUCGCUCCUACCGAUUGGAUGGUUUAGUGAGAACUCGGGACUGGCACUAAGGGGCUGGCAACAGCCUAUUAGAGCCGGGAACUUGCUCAAACUUGAUCAUUUAGAGGAAGUAAAAGUCGUAACA